rnacentral:rRNA from 1 species
GAUGAACGCUGGCGGCGUGCCUAAUACAUGCAAGUCGAGCGAAGCGGGGACGGGUGAGUAACACGUGGCUAACCUCCUAUAAGACUGGGAGAAAUUCGGGAAACCGGAGCUAAACCGGAUGCUUAAUGAUGGAUCCGCGCUGCAUGAGAUAGUUGGGACGGUAACGGCUUACCAAGGCAACGAUGCGUAGCCGACCUGAGAGGGGGAGCGGCCACACUGGAACUGAGACACGGUCCGGACUCCUACGGGAGGCAGCAGUAGGGAAUCUUCCGCAAGGGGCGAAAGCCUGACGGAGCAACGCCGCGUGAGUGAUGAAGGUCUUCGGAUCUGAAAACUCUGUUAUUAGGGAAGCGGUACCUAAUCAGAAAGCCACGGCUAACUACGUGCCAGCAGCCGCGGUAAUAC